rnacentral:tRNA from 1 species
AUAUAAUUUCAAAGGGUAGUUUAAUUAAAAUAUUAAUUUUGGGGAUUAGUGAUAAGUUUUUCU